UAUAUUUGCUGUUUUAUGGAAAAAAAUCAACUUUUCGGAUGGAAGGACCUUUUAAUUAGACGGAGUUAAACCUGAGAGACUAGUUAGAUAUUUUCGCAAAACUUGGAAUUAGUUAGAUAAUUAUGUAAAACCUGAGGGACUGAAUAAUAAUUUUCCCUUAUUGCUUCAUACUAGUCCACGUCAGCCAGGGAGGGAAUUUUAGUCUUUUAGUCUUCAAUUGACGGAAAAAAAUCAACUUUUCGGACGAAAGGACCUUUUAAUUAGACGGAGUUAAACUUGAGGGACUAGUUUGAUAUUUGCGCAAAACUUGGGAUUAGUUGGUUAAUUAUGUAAAACCUGAG
rnacentral:lncRNA from 1 species